rnacentral:rRNA from 1 species
UACGGAGGGUGCAAGCGUUAUCCGGAUUCACUGGGUUUAAAGGGAGCGUAGGUGGUUUUGUAAGUCAGUGGUGAAAUGUUCCGGCUCAACCGGGAAACUGCCAUUGAUACUGCUUAACUUGAAAUCAAGUCGAGGUGGAUGGAAUAAUACAUGUAGCGGUGAAAUGCUUAGAUAUGUAUUAGAACACCGAUUGCGAAGGCAGUUCACUAGGCUUGUAUUGACACUGAGGCUCGAAAGCGUGGGGAUCAAACAGGA